UGGAUAAAUAUACCUCAUAAAGAGAGCUAACUGUUUCGAUUGAGGAUCCUGGCUGCACUUCAGGCCCCAGAGCUGAGUCUUCUGUGAUCCCAGAAAGGAAGAAGAAUGGAGAAACUCCUAAAAGCGUCUUUGGUGAUCCUAUGGCUUCAGCUGGCCAAGCCUGUGACAUGACUUGCAGGGCAGGUUGUCCUGCUUAACACAGGAGUCACGAUUUUCUAGAAGAUUCCACCAAAGGACCAAGAAACUAGAAGAACAACCCUCUCAGCUGUGGGUAUAUCCCCAAAUGGAACCUUCCGCUGCUCCUCCACAAGCCAUGCUGGCUGCUUCCUACUCAGGACUUGCAAUCUUGCUGAUAUUGAGAGGGACCCAUGGAGACUCAGUGACCCAGACAGAAGGCCCUGUUACUCUCCUUGAGGGGAUGCCUUUGACCCUGAACUGCACUUACCAGAGUGGCUAUACAGUUUUUGUUUUCUGGUAUGUCCAGUACCGAAACAAAGAGCCUGAGUGCCUCCUGAACAGCUUAUCAGAAAACCAGGGGGCAGAGCAUCACGGUUUUCAGGCCAGUCAUGUUGCUAGUCUUGUCACCAGCGACAGCUCCUUCCACCUGCAGAAACGCUCUGUGCGCGUGUCAGACUCGGCUGUGUACUACUGCGUCCCGGGAGGAGGCACAGUGAGGGCGGCUGCAGGGGGAGCUGGGCACAAACCGCGAGGGGCGCUGGAGGAGCCUGGAGGUGGGCAGCCUGGACGGGAGAUGGUUUCGCUCUAGUUAGCAUCUCGUGCUGGCCACGGCUGCAGACGAACAGAGUCCUGAUGCCCCUGCACUCAAGAGCCCUGGUGUUACUUUGAGCUAGGGAUGGAAGGAGGCAAUCUAGGUGCAAACUUAGAUUGCAGAUAAGCCUAUACAUAGAAUCCGAUAGUAAAUGGCCUCUUGUGUUUAGCUUCUUUCACACAGCAUCAUCUUUUCAAGGCGUAUCCAUAUAUCAGUACUUUAGUACUUCUGUGACUACAUAAUAAUCCAUUGUAUUAAUAUCCCAUAUUUUCUUUAUCCAUUCAUCCAUUGAUGGGGAUUUUGGUUGUUUCCACUUUUUGGCUAUUAUGAAUAAAACUACUAAGAGCAUUCAUGUACAGGGGCUCUGCUCUUUUAAACUCAAAUAGAUUUUAAGUUAGACAUUUCUGGGUAUUUUUAGGUUUGUUUUUUGCUUUAUUUGCCACUAACAUUUCUUUGUGGACAUGCAAUUGAAUAAAUAUGAGAAAGUGCUCCUUACAAAUAAUGAUUAAUACCAAAGUAAGAUAUUAUUAUUCUAAGCUAUACCUGUAUUCAUUCAAGAAAACUUUUGACACAUUCAUAUGUGCCAGUCAUUUUAAUAACUAUUGGGAAUAUAUUUUAGGUAACAGAGUCUCCUCCUUUAGGAUUUUGUAACAUAGUGCAUUAAAAUACCA